GACGAACGCUGGCGGCGUGCCUAACACAUGCAAGUCGAGGGGUGAUUUCGGUCAUCACUGGCGCACGGGUGAGUAACGCGUAGAUCAUCUGCCCCUAUCACUGACAUAACAGUUCUAACGGACUGCUAAUAUCAGAUGAGGUGAGCAAUCAUCAAAGUUUCGACGGAUAGGGAUGAGUCUGCGUCUGAUUAGGUAGUUGGUGAGGUAACGGCUCACCAAGCCGACGAUCAGUAACUGGUCUGAGAGGACGAACAGUCACACUGGAACUGAGACACGGUCCAGACUCCUACGGGAGGCAGCAGUGAGGAAUAUUGCACAAU
rnacentral:rRNA from 1 species